UACGUAGGGGGCAAGCGUUGUCCGGAUUUAUUGGGCGUAAAGAGCGUGUAGGCGGCCAUUCAGGUCAGCUGUGAAAACUCGAGGCUCAACCUCGAGACGUCGGUUGAAACCGUUUGGCUAGAGUCCGGAAGAGGAGAGUGGAAUUCCCGGUGUAGCGGUGAAAUGCGCAGAUAUCGGGAAGAACACCCGUGGCGAAGGCGGCUCUCGUGGGACGGUACUGACGCAUGAGACGGCGAAAAGCGUGGGGAGCGAACAGG
rnacentral:rRNA from 1 species